rnacentral:rRNA from 1 species
UACAAAGGGUGCAAACGUUGCUCGGAAUCAUUGGGCGUAAAGCGCACGUAGGCGGCUUUGCAAGUCGGACGUGAAAUCCCUCAGCUCAACUGAGGACGUGCAUCCGAAACUGCAAGGCUUGAGUACUGAAGAGGAUCGCGGAAUUCCCGGUGUAGAGGUGAAAUUCGUAGAUAUCGGGAGGAACACCAGUGGCGAAGGCAGCUCGCUGGGACGUGACUGACGCUGAGACGCGAAAGCGUGGGGAGCAAACAGG